rnacentral:rRNA from 1 species
UACGUAGGGGGCAAGCGUUGUCCGGAAUUAUUGGGCGUAAAGAGCGCGUAGGCGGUCCGAUAAGUCGGCUGUGAAAGUCAGGGGCUCAACCCUUGAAAGCCGGCCGAUACUGUCGGACUAGAGUCCGGAAGAGGCAAGUGGAAUUCCCGGUGUAGCGGUGGAAUGCGCAGAUAUCAGGAGGAACACCCAUAGCGAAGGCAGCUUGCUGGGACGUUACUGACGCUAAGGCGCGAAAGCGUGGGGAGCGAACAGG